rnacentral:misc_RNA from 1 species
CCGAGUGAGGGCCCUCUGGGUCCAACCUCCCACCCGUGUCUAUCGUACCUUGUUGCUUCGGCGGGCCCGCCUCACGGCCGCCGGGGGGCUUCUGCCCUCUGGCCCGCGCCCGCCGAAGACACCAUUGAACGCUGCCUGAAGAUUGCAGUCUGAGCAAUUAGCUAAAUAAGUUA